rnacentral:rRNA from 1 species
AUGUGCGGGUGUGCGGAGGCGCUCGUGAGGGCGGUGGUGGCCUUCUACGACGCCUUCCUCGUCGACUGCUUCGUCUUCUGGUUCCGCCGCCGCCGCCCCCGCCCCGGCCCCGACAGCCCCGCCUCCGCCCACCGGGAUCCGCUCGUGCCCAAGGACUGGACAGGGGAGGCGCUCCCGGCCUCGGAUGAAGAGAAAGGUUUUGCAGAGAGCACAUUGUCGAACCAGCAGUUGGCAGAUGGCGAUGACACAGAUGAGGAGCUUAGGCGAGAGGUCAUUGUUGUGAAGGCCGUCACGGGAAGGCGUGGGGGAUUUGGCACAAGGCCGAUGAUCGAGUCUAUGCUCUCUCCUCCAUGGAAAGACCUAUUUUCUCUGAUGAUUGUUUUGAAGUGGCAGACCAUGUGA